UACGGAGGGUGCGAGCGUUAUCCGGAUUUAUUGGGUUUAAAGGGUGCGUAGGCGGGAUGCCAAGUCAGCGGUAAAAAUGCGGUGCUCAACGCCGUCGAGCCGUUGAAACUGGCGUUCUUGAGUGGGCGAGAAGUAUGCGGAAUGCGUGGUGUAGCGGUGAAAUGCAUAGAUAUCACGCAGAACUCCGAUUGCGAAGGCAGCAUACCGGCGCCCUACUGACGCUGAGGCACGAAAGCGUGGGUAUCGAACAGG
rnacentral:rRNA from 1 species